rnacentral:rRNA from 1 species
UACGGAGGGAGCUAGCGUUGUUCGGAAUUACUGGGCGUAAAACGCACGUAGGCGGCUUUGUAAGUUAGAGGUGAAAGCCCGGGGCUCAACCCCGGAAUUGCCUUUAAGACUGCAUCGCUUGAAUCCGGGAGAGGUGAGUGGAAUUCCGAGUGUAGAGGUGAAAUUCGUAGAUAUUCGGAAGAACACCAGUGGCGAAGGCGGCUCACUGGACCGGUAUUGACGCUGAGGUGCGAAAGCGUGGGGAGCAAACAGG